rnacentral:lncRNA from 1 species
GGCAGCGAGGCGACGGGAGUGGGUGGGAGAGGGAGAGGGGGCGAGGUGCCUGGUGGCGAAUCCGGCGGAGAAGGCGGCGGCGAGGAGGGGGAGGGGAGGGAGGCGGGGGAGGGAGAGGGCAGCGAUGGGGAGGAGAAGGAGCGGGAGCAGGGCAUGAGAUGGCUGGAGGGGGAAGGGGAGGUCGGGCUCGGCGGCGAGGUCGGCCCAACCGUUGUAGGAGGAGCAGCGGGCAGCGGCAGCUCUCAGGCGAGCCCCGGGUCUGGCCCUGCUCCUUAGCCGGAGGAGGAGGAAGAGAGGCUGCGGCUGCGGGGAGGAGGAGGCGGCGAUGAUGGUGGCGGUGGAGCUCGUUGCCAUUUCACUCGCAUCUCAGUGUUGGAUUGGAAAUUUG